GGAAGGAUCAUUAUUGAAUGAAACUUUUGGCUGGAUGCUGUUGUGCUGGCCCCUCUUGGGGGUAAUGUGCACACCCUCUGGUUACUUGUUUAUUCUGUUCCACCUGUGCACUGCCUGUAGACACUAAAGUGUCUAUGACAUUUUUUACACACUACACUAUGUUGUAUGUAUUGGUGAAUUAUAUUAAAAUAAAUACAACUUUCAACAAUGGAUCUCUUGGCUCUUGCAUCGAUGAAGAACACAGCGAAAUGUGAUAAGUAAUGUGAAUUGCAGAAUCCAGUGAAUCAUCGAAUCUUUGAACGCAUCUUGCGCUCCUUGGUAUUCUGAGGAGCAUGCCUGUUUGAGAGUCAUUAAACUAUCAAAACACUUUAAUUAAUUAAGUGUUUUGGACUGUGGGAGUACUUUGCUGGCCUUUUUUGAGUUCAGCUCUCCUCAAAAGCAAAUUUAGCUCAGAAGGUGUGGACCAUUAGUGUGAUAACUUGUUUACACUGUGCUUUUCCCCCUUUUGUUGAAUACUAUUUAUUAAUGUCCCUUUGACCUCAAAUCAGGUAGGACUACCCGCUGAACUUAAGCAUAUCAAUAAGCGGAGGAAAAGAAACUAACAAGGAUUCCCCUAGUAACUGCGAGUGAAAUGGGAAAAGCUCAAAUUUGAAAUCUGGCAGUCUCCUUUUUCUUCUUUGGCUGUCCGAGUUGUAAUCUAGAGAAGUGCUUACCUACACUGGACCAUGUAUAAGUCUCCUGGAAUGGAGCGUCAUAGAGGGUGAGAAUCCCGUCUUUGACAUGGACUGCCAGUGUGUUGUGGUGUGCUCUCAAAGAGUCGAGUUGUUUGGGAAUGCAGCUCUAAAUGGGUGGUAAACUCCAUCUAAAGCUAAAUAUUGGCAAGAGACCGAUAGUGAACAAGUACCGUGAGGGAAAGAUGAAAAGGACUUUGGAAAGAGAGUUAAACAGUAUGUGAAAUUGUUGAAAGGGAAACGCUUGAAGUCAGUUAUGUUGGUUAGGGAUCAGCCCAGCUAAUUUUGCUGAGUGAAUUUCCUAGUCUGACAGGCCAACAUCAGUUCUGACUGCUAGAAAAGAGCAGAGGGAAUGUGGCACCUUUGGGUGUGUUAUAGCCUUUUGUCAUAUGUGGCAGUUGGGACUGAGGAAUGCAGCGUGCUGUAAAGCUGGGUUAUGACCACUUUCGCGCUUAGGAUGUUGGCUUUUAAUGGCUUCAAUCGACCCGUCUUGAAACACGGACCAAGGAGUCUAACAUGCCUGCAAGUGUUUGGGUGGAGAAAACCCUUGCGCACAAUGAAAGUAAAAGUUGAGAUCCCUGUCAUGGGGAGCAUCGAUGCCCGGACUGGAGCUUUUAGCGAUGGAUCUGCGGUAGAGCAUGCAUGUUGGGACCCGAAAGAUGGUGAACUAUGCCUGAAUAGGGCAAAGCCAGAGGAAACUCUGGUGGAGGCUCGUAGCGAUUCUGACGUGCAAAUCGAUCGUCGAAUUUGGGUAUAGGGGCGAAAGACUAAUCGAACCAUCUAGUAGCUGGUUCCUGC
rnacentral:misc_RNA from 1 species